rnacentral:rRNA from 1 species
CGCCUGGGGAGUACGGCCGCAAGGUUAAAACUCAAAUGAAUUGACGGGGGCCCGCACAAGCGGUGGAGCAUGUGGUUUAAUUCGACGCAACGCGAAGAACCUUACCUGGCCUUGACAUCCAGAGAGCUUUCCAGAGAUGGAUUGGUGCCUUCGGGAACUCUGAGACAGGUGCUGCAUGGCCGUCGUCAGCUCGUGUCGUGAGAUGUUGGGUUAAGUCCCGUAACGAGCGCAACCCCUAUCCCUGGUUGCUAGCAGGUAAUGCUGAGAACUCCAGGGAGACUGCCGGUGACAAACCGGAGGAAGGUGGGGAUGACGUCAGGUCAUCAUGGCCCUUACGGCCAGGGCUACACACGUGCUACAAUGGCGCGUACAGAGGGCUGCCAACUCGCGAGAGUGAGCCAAUCCCUUAAAACGCGUCGUAGUCCGGAUCGGAGUCUGCAACUCGACUCCGUGAAGUCGGAAUCGCUAGUAAUCGCGAAUCAGAAUGUCGCGGUGAAUACGUUCCCGGGCCUUGUACACACCGCCCGUCACACCAUGGGAGUGGAUUGCACCAGAAGUAGUUAGUCUAACCUUCGGGAGGACGAUUACCACGGUGUGGUUCAUGACUGGGGGUGAAGUCGUAACAAGGUAACCGUA